CCCAAACCCUAUUCUGUGGAAGAAAGGGCUGUGGAAAUGUUGGGUUAAGUCGGUGAAUCAGUAUUGUUUACUGCCAGAGUUCUCAGUGCCUUCUGCAUUUGAAGCCCCACUAGCAUGCAGACAGGCUUCCUGAAUUCAUCUGAGUUUGGAGCUGUCACACAACCUUGGGAAUUCUGAAAUCUCUGAAAAUUAGACAUAUUGAUUGAGCUAAAGAUUUAAGCUUGUAAGACUGGUUCCAAAUUUAUCCCCGUGGCCCACAGUGCCUGGACACAAAGUGCUCCAGGACUGGUGAGGU
rnacentral:lncRNA from 1 species